UCGGGAUGAGAUUCUGGAAGCCUCUAAGGCCCUGUCUGAUGUUCUGGAAACUGAUCUGCCAAAGUUGCUGAAGAUGAAGCCAAAGGAUGCUGCUCCUCCAGCUGCCCCUGAAGCAUGCGAUCGCUGUGGUCGAGUCUUGUAUAGUUAGACCACAUAAAGAUAAAUGAAUUGCAUUAACCUUCAAUUAUUAUUGUUGUUAUUUUUCUUUGGAAAAGGAGACAUUAAAAGAACAAUUUUUACUUGUUAUACAUGAAUCAAAAUAAAGAUAUUGGUAACUUGUUACUUGUAACAUUGGUAAGUUUUGUUUUCUUUGAUUUUUAUGUUUCUGUUAAUAUUGUUUAAUACGAAUGAUGUGCGGAAUCUCCAGUGAGAUCUUUUUCAUGUGAACCACCGCGGUUCAAUUACUAUUCCCCACCUAAAUUACAAAAAAUGCCCAUUUUUACUUUUCACUUAUGUUGUUGCUACUUGCUUGAAGUAAGGUUUUAACAGAGUAAAAUGAAUUUCAAUUUCUUUACCAAAGUAUCCCAAUAUCCUUACAUGAUUCUUGCAAUAGACAUAUAUCAAUCCCUCUUAGUUUUGAUACAGGUGAUCAUAAUCAAUCUCUUCUAAUCAUAAACCAACAGGUGUAGUGAUAUCUUUAACAGUAUCCACACAAAUGUUAGAAUGUAUGAGAGAAACAAUUUAUCUCCAUUGUCUGUAUACCAUUGUAGCUAUGAGAAUGGCUUGACACUCACAUUGCAUUGUAUGCAGCGUACUGAUAGUGGGUUAAUCCAGUACAUGAUUAUAUCAAUAAAAUAGUUGAAUAAAUAAAUAAGUAAUUAAGAUAAUAAAUUAAUCUCUAGGGCAUACAUCAACAAUAUUCUUGGUGGAUUUUGUCAGAUUCAUAAAGCCCUGUUGUAAGGUAUCAACAUUGAGAUGCAUAAUUAAUUAACAGACUAUAGCAUUCUUUAUGGAGCUUUGGCUAAAAAGUUUUUUAUCUCAUGAAUUUUUUUUUUGAAGCAGAUCUCAUGAUAUGUUGCUUGAAGUGUUGUUUCUGUUUUACAAAGUUGUCAUUGUUGCCGCUGCUCUAUGUCAAAUAGGCAUUGAUGUCUUGUUUUGUCCUGUUUUAGAAAGUUCAGCUGGGAAUGGGAUGAACUAAUAACAUGUUUCAAAUCAGCGUUAAGGUUGUUAGCAGGGGUACACAACAAGAAAAACCCUAAUUACCGACAUCACCAAAACCAUUAGUAAUUAUAAUCUACUGACGACCAAACCGACAAUAAAAAAUUCAUCAGUAUUUGCCUCGUUGGUAAAUAUUGCUAACAGUUUUUAAAAGACUUUGGCAAAUUUCUGACGACUUUUGACCAUCAUUGUAUUUCUCGAUGACCAAAGGUAAAUUUCCUAUGCAAUGACUCUAUAGAAGGCUUUACUCCUUUUAGCAGAGUAAUUCAGCUCUUUUCUCCACUUAUGUGUAGACAAUAUCAAACAAUUACUAGAAGUACAAGACUAUAUCAACACUCAAGUAGAUUUUACAUUUCUCCAAAACACAUAAUGAACUUGAACGUACAAACCAAUACAAAUGUCCAAAUACUGAAUGUAAUUGAAUGACUUCAAAAUGAUCCCACAAGAAAUACAACACUUGAUGACAAAAAUGUAUCAUCUGUUUUGGCCAAGGCAAGCUUUGGGACUCAACUUGCUCUUAGUACUCUCCUUUUCAAAUCCUACAUCAAAAGACAUUAAAAAACCAAAAUAAAUUAUGAUAACAUAUCUAUCAAAAAUUGUAAUAUUAUGUAAAAGUAUUAAGCAAUUUCAAGAUGUUCAUGCUACCAACCACUUUAAUAAUAAAAAAGCAAGUCCACAAAAAUAUGAAAUUGGAGGGAGGGGAAAAGAUAUUAUAGCAUAACUAAAGCAAAAGAUGACCAAACUUGUGUUUAUAGCACUAAGGGCUUUGGAAAGCUUAAUUUGAUAAAUUGAUGCACAUGCACAAACAUCCACAAAGAUAUACGAGCAGAAGAAGUAGAUACUACUAAAACAACCAGUACAUGUAAAAGAUUUUAUAGAGGAACAAGGUAAAUACUUAACAUUAUCUAAAAUAAUAGGUAAACAAGAAAAGUUUAUCAACAUCCAACAAUAUUUUUUUCUAAAUUGAAAACAGCUUUAUCACCAAUUGAGAUACUGGAGAACAAAUCUCUAAUGAGUGUUAGAAUAUAAAAAGCUAAGAUAAGGCCAACAUAUCAUCCUUCUCUACUACAUUAUUUCUGAGCCAGUACAUCAUCCAACAAGAUUAUCUUAAUACCUAUAAUUAAGUUUAACUUUGUAACUUUACAUUUUUCAUCAAAAUCACAAUACAUGGACAAAUCACCAAUGUACACUAGAACUACAUAUCGAAAGACAGCCACAAAUAAAGAUUAAUGUCAACCAUAAAGUGAAAGAUACACAUGGAUUUGACAUAAAGUAAUAUUUGCAGUCGGGAUGAGAUUCUGGAAGCCUCUAAGGCCCUGUCUGAUGUUCUGGAAACUGAUCUGCCAAAGUUGCUGAAGAUGAAGCCAAAGGAUGCUGCUCCUCCAGCUGCCCCUGAAGCAUGCGAUCGCUGUGGUCGAGUCUUGUAUAGUUAGACCACAUAAAGAUAAAUGAAUUGCAUUAACCUUCAAUUAUUAUUGUUGUUAUUUUUCUUUGGAAAAGGAGACAUUAAAAGAACAAUUUUUACUUGUUAUACAUGAAUCAAAAUAAAGAUAUUGGUAACUUGUUACUUGUAACAUUGGUAAGUUUUGUUUUCUUUGAUUUUUAUGUUUCUGUUAAUAUUGUUUAAUACGAAUGAUGUGCGGAAUCUCCAGUGAGAUCUUUUUCAUGUGAACCACCGCGGUUCAAUUACUAUUCCC
rnacentral:lncRNA from 1 species